rnacentral:rRNA from 1 species
UACGUAGGUGGCAAGCGUUGUCCGGAUUUACUGGGCGUAAAGAGCGCGCAGGCGGUCGUUCAAGUCGCGUGUGAAAGCCCCCGGCUCAACUGGGGAGGGUCACGCGAUACUGAUCGACUCGAAGGCAGGAGAGGGUAGUGGAAUUCCCGGUGUAGUGGUGGAAUGCGUAGAUAUCGGGAGGAACACCAGUGGCGAAGGCGACUUCCUGGACCUGUUCUGACGCUGAGGAGCGAAAGCGUGGGGAGCGAUCCGG